rnacentral:rRNA from 1 species
CCUACGGGUGGCAGCAGUGGGGAAUAUUGGGCAAUGGGCGCAAGCCUGACCCAGCAACGCCGCGUGAAGGAAGAAGGCUUUCGGGUUGUAAACUUCUUUUCUCAGGGACGAAGAAAGUGACGGUACCUGAGGAAUAAGCCACGGCUAACUACGUGCCAGCAGCCGCGGUAAUACGUAGGUGGCAAGCGUUAUCCGGAUUUACUGGGAGUAAAGGGCGUGUAGGCGGGACUGCAAGUCAGAUGUGAAAACCACGGGCUCAACCUGUGGCCUGCAUUUGAAACUGUAGUUCGUGAGUACUGGAGAGGCAGACGGAAUUCCUAGUGUAGCGGUGAAAUGCGUAGAUAUUAGGAGGAACACCAGUGGCGAAGGCGGCCUACUGGACGGUGACUGACGCUGAGGCUCGAAAGCGUGGGGAGCAAACAGGAUUAGAUACCCUUGUAGUC